rfam:Fukomys damarensis contig110070, whole genome shotgun sequence.
GGAUGUGAGGGCAAUCUAUCUGGCUGCAGUAUUUGUCACUCCAUUGAUCGCCAGGACUCAUUCGGCUGAUCUGGCUGGCUAGAUCCAUGUCCACUCCCUCACCACACCAUGUGCAUCCCUCCUGAAGCUGAACACUCACUCAGUCAAAGAGGAUGGCCACCCCCAGUAGAGGACCAUUUCUUCGAUUGAGGGUAUACAAGUAGCUGCACUCCCCAGGAUAGAACCUCCAAACAAGCUCUCCUGGUCAAAAUAUAACAAGCAGGGCUAGGGAUUUAGCUCAGUGGUGCCACCGUCUGCCUGGCAAAUGC